rnacentral:rRNA from 1 species
AACGAACGCUGGCGGCAGGCUUAACACAUGCAAGUCGAACGCCCCGCAAGGGGAGUGGCAGACGGGUGAGUAACGCGUGGGAACAUACCCAUCACUACGGAAUAACUCAGGGAAACUUGUGCUAAUACCGUAUACGACCGAGAGGUGAAAGAUUUAUCGGUGAUGGAUUGGCCCGCGUUGGAUUAGCUAGUUGGUGGGGUAAAGGCCUACCAAGGCGACGAUCCAUAGCUGGUCUGAGAGGAUGAUCAGCCACAUUGGGACUGAGACACGGCCCAAACUCCUACGGGAGGCAGCAGUGGGGAAUAUUGGACAAUGGGCGCAAGCCUGAUCCAGCCAUGCCGCGUGAGUGAUGAAGGCCUUAGGGUUGUAAAGCUCUUUCACCGGAGAAGAUAAUGACGGUAUCCGGAGAAGAAGCCCCGGCUAACUUCGUGCCAGCCGCCGCCGUAAGAC